rnacentral:tRNA from 1 species
AUCCCGUAAGCUCAGCCUGGUAGAGCUUUCGAAUCGACACCGAAGCGUCCCAGGUUCAAAUCCUGGCCGCGGGA